rnacentral:rRNA from 1 species
AACGAACGCUGGCGGCAGGCUUAACACAUGCAAGUCGAACGCAUCGCAAGAUGAGUGGCAGACGGGUGAGUAACGCGUGGGAACAUACCCUUUUCUACGGAAUAGCUCUGGGAAACUGGAAUUAAUACCGUAUACGCCCUACGGGGGAAAGAUUUAUCGGGGAAGGAUUGGCCCGCGUUGGAUUAGCGAGUUGGUGGGGUAAAGGCCUACCAAGGCGACGAUCCAUAGCUGGUCUGAGAGGAUGAUCAGCCACAUUGGGACUGAGACACGGCCCAAACUCCUACGGGAGGAAGCAGUGGUGAAUAUUGGUCAAUGGGCGGAAGCCUGAUCCAGCCAUGCCGCGUGAGUGGUGAAGGCCUUAGGGUUGUAAAGCUCUUUCACCGAUGAAGAUAAUGACGGUAGUCGGAGAAGAAGCCCCGACUAACUUCGUGCCAGCAGCCGCCGUAAAAC